CUUCAGAUGUAAGCUGUGAACACACAUGUACACAAAACUGUGCAACAUUCGUCAUCAUAUUGUAUCAAUUUGUCGGAGUAUGGCGCUCAUAUUUGUGACAUUGUUUUGUUCGCUUUGGCAACCCUGCCAACCCUCGUAUAUAUAUCAGAUGCUGUUCGGCCUCAAAUGCGACUGAAUGAACACUGAUGGUGUUGCCUGGAAUAUGAAAUGAUAUUGACUGAUUGUUCUGUAUAUCAAGGUAGGUACUGUACAUUUAUACUGAAUUUAUUUUCACACGAGUUUCAAACUAUUUCAGCCUUUAAUAUAAUGAACAGUGCGAUCACAUCACUAACAUACAGCCAUACAGAAAGCAGAAAGAAUUUUCUCAUCAAUUCUGAUUAUCGUUUACAAGUAACAGUAUAAAUGCUUCAAAAUUUAUUUGUUUUCUACAGUAUGUAAUGCAGGGCAGCAUGCUUUCAUUUUGCUUUGGUGGUAGUCACCACUCACCAAGUCAAAUGGGCCAUUCCAUCUAUAAAUAGCCCCACUAUUCAGGUCUGGAUAUCCUAUAUGGGGAUUUUAGAGAGGGGGAUUUUACCUUAAAUUUUUCUGGAGGGUAGCUUAAGAGAUUUCCAAAAAAUUAGGUGUUUUAGUGAUACCCAAAGGGGCAGGAACAAUAUCCUAAAGGGGUAGAAAGAUAUCCAUGGGGGUUCCAAAAUUGCAUCCAAUGGGGUUCCAAAAUGUUUAAGUAUAAUAGUAUUAUGAAGAGACCCCUCAAUAGGGUGUGGGGGGCUAUAUUAAAUGGAAUUGCCCAGUGUGCUGCAACAACUUUUAAAAUUUGUAUAUAUGUUUUUAAGGCACAAUAUGUGAUGGAGUUUGAUAUAAUGAUCAGCACAACCUGGAUGUCUUGACUGAAUGAACAACUUAUGUGAUAUACUCCUAGUUCCAAUACUUUGCUGUAUAUUAUCACCAGCUCAGAUGUCAGUUGGAUCACUUUGAAUGAACAUUGGAGUGGCACAAUAAAGUGUGUGUAUUAGGGCGGAGUCUAUAAUUAAGGACUGAAGUAAAAGGCACACUUUUGGAUAUUAAUUUGAAUCAUAGCAACUACAUAUACUGUAGGUUUCAAAUAAGUUUGAACAAUGAACAACUGAAAAUAAAAAUUUAUUUGAUUUGAAACACUCAAAAGAAUUACAACAUAUUAUAUGAUAGUCAUAUGUACAUGAUUAUGGGUAUAUUCAUUAGGUUUAUUAGCUGAUAUUUAUGACCAUCCUGGGACAACAUUUUAUUUUUCCCAAGAGAUUUUACUUGCAUGGUAGUAAUAUAGUAACAGAGAAGUGUGAUGGAUAUGUGCAAGUAAUUAUCAUUAGAAAUACAAAUAUUAAACUGUAAUUUUCACCAUUGUAAAUGAUUGUAUUAUUAAAGAAACAAAAUACAAAAG